ACUAAAUAGAUACCCGGGUAGUCCACGCCGUAAACGUUGGGCGCUAGGUGUGGGGCUCUUUCCACGAGUUCCGUGCCGCAGCAAAAACGCAUUAAGCGCCCCGCCUGGGGAGUACGGCCGCAAGGCUAAAACCUCAAAGGAAUUGACGGGGGUCCCGCACAAGCGGCGGAGCAUGCGGAUUAAUUCGAUGCAACGCGAAGAACCUUACCAAGGCUUGACAUACGCAGAAAACCCGGCAGAGAUGUCGGGUCCGUAAGGGCUGUGUACAGGUGGUGCAUGGUUGUCGUCAGCUCGUGUCGUGAGAUGUUGGGUUAACGUCCCGCAACGAGCGCAACCCUCGUUCCAUGUUGCCAGCACGUAAUGGUGGGGUACUCAUGGGAGACUGCCGGGGUUCAACUCGGAGGAAGGUGGGGUAUGACGUCAAACUCAUCAUGCCCCGUUAUGUCUUGGGCUUCACGCAUGCUACAAUGGCCAGUACAAA
rnacentral:rRNA from 1 species